rnacentral:rRNA from 1 species
UUGCCAGACUCCUACGGGAGGCAGCAGUGGGGAAUAUUGCACAAUGGGGGAAACCCUGAUGCAGCGACGCCGCGUGGGCGAAGAAGUAUUUCGGUAUGUAAAGCCCUAUCAGCAGGGAAGAAGAAAUGACGGUACCUGAGUAAGAAGCACCGGCUAACUACGUGCCAGCAGCCGCGGUAAUACGUAGGGGGCAAGCGUUAUCCGGAUUUACUGGGUGUAAAGGGAGCGUAGACGGCAAUGCAAGUCUGGAGUGAAAGGCGGGGGCCCAACCCCCGGACUGCUCUGGAAACUGUAUAGCUGGAGUGCAGGAGAGGUAAGUGGAAUUCCUAGUGUAGCGGUGAAAUGCGUAGAUAUUAGGAGGAACACCAGUGGCGAAGGCGGCUUACUGGACUGUAACUGACGUUGAGGCUCGAAAGCGUGGGGAGCAAACAGGAUUAGAUACCCCUGUAACG